GGAUUACUUCUUAAUUCAUAUUUAUUGUAUUAUUAUUACAUCUCAUGUAACAUUUUAUAACAUAUUUACAUAGUAUGUGGAGCACCCAGUUUCACUCAUGUAUGGUCUACUUAUCCUUUAUCGAUUCCAAGAUUUGGGCUUCACUUGGGUAAGAAGACCAUGCUGAAAUAGAAGGCCCACUUUAUGGACCUUAAAAGAGGGUUCUUGCAUUCGCCACUCCCAUAUGGGGUGGUAAAAUGGUAAAACUACUCCUGGUAAAAUAACACUGUAUUGGACCUAACAUUUUCAAAACGGGAAUAAAGUAACUGCAAAUAAACAAAUUGUCCAAAAGUAUAGAACAUUUUUCCCUACUUUAGACAAAUCCACCCUAUAUAACUCAUGUAACAAUAAUUCUAACUAUGAAAUGGCUCGUGCAAUUC
rnacentral:lncRNA from 1 species